GACGAACGCUGGCGGCGUGCCUAAUACAUGCAAGUAGAACGCACAGUUUAUACCGUAGCUUGCUACACCAUAGACUGUGAGUUGCGAACGGGUGAGUAACGCGUAGGUAACCUGCCUGGUAGCGGGGGAUAACUAUUGGAAACGAUAGCUAAUACCGCAUAAUAUUAAUUAUUGCAUGAUAAUUAAUUGAAAGGUGCAAUUGAACCACUACCAGAUGGACCUGCGUUGUAUUAGCUAGUAGGUGAGGUAACGGCUCACCUAGGCGACGAUACAUAGCCGACCUGAGAGGGUGAUCGGCCGCACUGGGACUGUGACACGGCCCAGACUCCUACGGGAGGCAGCAGUAGGGCAUCUUCGGCAAUGGACGAAAGUCUGACCGAGCAACGCCGCGUGAGUGAAGAAGGUUUUCGGAUCGUAAAGCUCUGUUGUAAGAGAAGAACGGGUGUGAGAGUGGAAAGUUCACACUGUGACGGUAUCUUACCAGAAAGGGACGGCUAACUACGUG
rnacentral:rRNA from 1 species